rnacentral:rRNA from 1 species
UACGUAGGGGGCAAGCGUUGUCCGGAUUUACUGGGCGUAAAGAGCGUGUAGGCGGCCAAGCAGGUCCGUUGUGAAAACUGGAGGCUUAACCUCCAGACGUCGACGGAAACCGCGUGGCUAGAGUCCGGAAGAGGAGAGUGGAAUUCCUGGUGUAGCGGUGAAAUGCGCAGAUAUCAGGAGGAACACCAACGGCGAAGGCAGCUCGCU